rnacentral:rRNA from 1 species
UGGGGAAUAUUGCACAAUGGGGGAAACCCUGAUGCAGCGACGCCGCGUGAACGAAGAAGGUAUUCGUAUCGUAAAGUUCUGUCCUAUGGGAAGAUAAUGACAGUACCAUAGAAGAAAGCUCCGGCUAAAUACGUGCCAGCAGCCGCGGUAAUACGUAUGGAGCGAGCGUUGUCCGGAAUUAUUGGGCGUAAAGGGUACGCAGGCGGUUUAAUAAGUCGAAUGUUAAAGAUCGGGGCUCAACCCCGCAAAGCAUUGGAAACUGAUAAACUUGAGUAGUGGAGAGGAAAGUGGAAUUCCUAGUGUAGUGGUGAAGUACGUAGAUAUUAGGAGGAGUACCAGUAGCGAAGGCGACUUUCUGGACACAAACUGACGCUGAGGUACGAAAGCGUGGGGAGCAAACAGG